UUGAUUUGAGCGAUCCGAACAGACCGACUAAGCUCGGUGAAGUAUACUGUGAAUUAUACGACAAUCAAUGGACAGAUGCUUUUGAAGCUCUGAAGAAAGCAGGUCAUGAGGAACAAUUUGCAAUUGAGACUUUGGCACUUACUUUACAGCAUGUGAUGCAGUUUUGUAAAAGUAAUGCGGAGCUUUUGCUGAAAAAGUCAUCACACGCUCUUAACCUGUUGUUUGAAGGUGAAAAAAGUCCGGAAAAUGAAAAGGU